UACGGAGGAUGCAAGCGUUAUCCGGAAUCAUUGGGCGUAAAGCGUCCGUAGGUGGCGUUUCAAGUCUGCUGUCAAAGCACAAGGCUUAACCUUGUAAAGGCAGUGGAAACUGAAAGAGCUAGAGUGCGGUAGGGGUAGAGGGAAUUCCCAGUGUAGCGGUGAAAUGCGUAGAGAUUGGGAAGAACACCGGUGGCGAAGGCGGGUCUCUGGGCCGAUACUGACGCUGAGGAGCGAAAGCGUGGGGAGCGAACAGG
rnacentral:rRNA from 1 species